UACGUAGGGGGCAAGCGUUGUCCGGAUUUAUUGGGCGUAAAGAGCGUGUAGGCGGCCAUACAGGUCAGCUGUGAAAACUCGAGGCUCAACCUCGAGACGUCGGUUGAAACCGUAUGGCUAGAGUCCGGAAGAGGAGAGUGGAAUUCCCGGUGUAGUGGUGAAAUGCGCAGAUAUCGGGAAGAACACCCGUGGCGAAGGCGGCUCUCUGGGACGGUACUGACGCUGAGACGCGAAAGCGUGGGGAGCGAACAGG
rnacentral:rRNA from 1 species